GAUGAACGCUGGCGGCGUGCUUAACACAUGCAAGUCGAACGGUGAACGAGGGAGCUUGCUCCCUCCGGAUCAGUGGCGAACGGGUGAGUAACACGUGAGCAAUCUGCCCCGAACUCUGGGAUAAGCGCUGGAAACGGCGUCUAAUACCGGAUACGACGCGCGAAGGCAUCUUCUGCGCGUGGAAAGAAUUUCGGUUCGGGAUGAGCUCGCGGCCUAUCAGCUAGUUGGUGAGGUAACGGCUCACCAAGGCGACGACGGGUAGCCGGCCUGAGAGGGUGACCGGCCACACUGGGACUGAGACACGGCCCAGACUCCUACGGGAGGCAGCAGUGGGGAACAUUGCGCAAUGGGCGCAAGCCUGAUGCAGCAACGCCGCGUGAGGGACGACGGCCUUCGGGUUGUAAACCUCUUUUAGUAGGGAAGAAGCGAAAGUGACGGUACCUGCAGAAAAAGCACCGGCUAACUACGUGCCAGCCGCCGCCGUAAUAC
rnacentral:rRNA from 1 species